GUUUUUUCUAGCCUCUCGUCGAAA
rnacentral:snRNA from 1 species